CAUUACACAAUAUGAAGGCGGGCUGGACACCCUCCAGCCGGGCACUGCUUCACGGCGUGCGCGGCUGGAGCCGGCCCUGCUGAAUUAUUCACCCGUGUCUUUUGCGUACUUCUUGUUUCCUGGGUGGGCUCGCCCGCCAUCAGGACCAACCAUAAACCUUUUUGUAAUAGCAAUCAGCGUCAGUAACAACGUAAUUAAUUACAACUUUCAACAACGGAUCUCUUGGUUCUGGCAUCGAUGAAGAACGCAGCGAAAUGCGAUACGUAGUGUGAAUUGCAGAAUUCAGUGAAUCAUCGAAUCUUUGAACGCACAUUGCGCCCUUUGGUAUUCCAAAGGGCAUGCCUGUUCGAGCGUCAUUUGUACCCUCAAGCUUUGCUUGGUGUUGGGCGUCUUUUGUCUCCAGCUCGCUGGAGACUCGCCUUAAAGUCAUUGGCAGCCGGCCUACUGGUUUCGGAGCGCAGCACAAGUCGCGCUCUUGCCCAGCCAAGGUCAGCGUCCAGCAAGCCUUUUUUCAACCUUUGACCUCGGAUCAGGUAGGGAUACCCGCUGAACUUAAGCAUAUCAAUAAGCGGAGGA
rnacentral:rRNA from 1 species